rnacentral:rRNA from 1 species
UACAGAGGUCCCAAGCGUUGUUCGGAUUCAUUGGGCGUAAAGGGUGCGUAGGCGGCGCGGUAAGUCGGGUGUGAAAUCUCGGGGCUUAACUCCGAAACUGCAUUCGAUACUGCCGUGCUUGAGGACUGGAGAGGAGACUGGAAUUUACGGUGUAGCGGUGAAAUGCGUAGAUAUCGUAAGGAAGACCAGUGGCGAAGGCGGGUCUCUGGACAGUUCCUGACGCUGAGGCACGGAGGCCAGGGGAGCAAACGGG